UUCACAAGGCAACCUUUCCCCACUGCCAGUUCCAUGUGGUUGGGCCUGCCUGUGGACUAAUUCUCUCCUGAGCCAUGUGUCUAGGACUACCUGGCUGCCAGCAUCCUCCCUCUCCAGGACCAAAUCUGUAAGGUGGCUGCAGCUGCUGCUGCUCCUGUGCUCCUCAGCCUUGCUUGUUUGCUGAAGAGCUGGGCUCUAUCACUUUCUUAGAGGCCUUGACUUACCAGCCUCUCCUGUCCUCAGUUCCAGAACAUCUUUCCUAAUUAUGACUGGAAGAAAGUAGAAAGACAGGUUCUCACGACACCCAGGCCAACCCUGAACUCACUAUGUAGCUGAGAAUGACCUUGAACUCCUGAUCUUCCUACACCUCCUGAGUGCUUGGAUUACAAGCAUGUGCCAUGAUGCCUAGUGGUAUGAUUCCACUUAUGUGAACUUCUAGGACAGGCAAAACUAAUCCAUGGUGAAAAAAGGCAGCGCAGUGGUUAUCCUUGGAGAACAGAGAUGUGGAAUGUAUGAGAAAGGGCAUGAGGGGACUUUCUAGGAUAAUCAAGUCCUGAACGUUCAUAGAGGUUUGAGUUGACAAGUUUAUACAUCUGUCAGCGGUAAGCAGAUAGUGUGCUGUAAGAUCUGUGCAUUUGUUUGAGCAUAAAUAUCUACACAAAAAGAACUGAAGGCAAAUAUCAAAUUCUAGUUAACAACAGAUAGGUUAAAGGAUUUGGAGUGGACUAUAGCUUUAAUUUACUUUGAGAUAUGUCAAAAAUUUCAUAUAACUUCAUGGAUAGAUCAAGGGAUAAAAAUGUGAUAAAGCAAGGAUGAAAAAAUAUUGAUUGUAGAAUUUAUGAGUCAGGGUAGUUGUAAAAUUCAACUCUUCUGAAUGUUUGUAGAUCUUUGUGAUAAAAUAUCAGGAAAAAAAAUGUAUCUACCAAGUAUCUACUAAACACAAAUGAUAUAAAGGCAAAUGAACCUAGCAAAGAGCUCAA